rnacentral:sRNA from 1 species
CCCUGGCUCUGCUCCCCAGGUCUCAGUGCUGUGUCCCCCCAGAGCCUAGAGGAUGUUUCAUGGGAUCCCAGCCACUCCGGGCAUAGGAGCCCCUGGGAACAAGCCGGAGCUGUAUGAGGAAGUGAAGUUGUACAAGAACGCCCGGGAGAGGGAGAAGUACGACAACAUGGCAGAGCUGUUUGCGGUGGUGAAGACAAUGCAAGCCCUGGAGAAGGCCUACAUCAAGGACUGUGUCUCCCCCAGCGAGUAAGAGCCCACGUCCUGGGAGGUCUGUUCCUGCCCUGGGGGGCUCGGGUGCUCCAUAGGCAGCAAGAGCAGGUGUCUGUCAGGCUGGGAGGCACCCACUUGUGUGGGGCCCACCCAGCGUGAGGAGGGUGCCCCUGGGUCUCAGCCAGGGAAGUCCUGGGGGCUGGUGAGGGAGGCGGGCAGAGGCGCAGCUCCUGGGGUGUCAUCCGGCCCACUCCCCCACCCUCAUCCCCCAGCACAGGCAACCUUAAAAAACGGUCGAGAGGCUUGGGGAUGUCCCAGGAUCUUUUGGGGGGGCUUUGUUCAAUGAAGUGACAAGACCGUCACAGGCCACCCCACAGGACCAUGAGCUGUGGAUGCGGCCAUCACAACAGAGGGCUGGUCGCUGUGGUUCAGAGGGUGGGCAGGGGUUGGGGGCCGGGGCCUCCACCUGGAGCUGAGCUACAAGCCCCACUACGUGCUCAGGGCCUCACCCCCAAAAGCUACUAGCAGCCCCUCCUCCUUGCUCGGCCUGCCUUUGCCUGUCGCCUGGUCCUCUCUGGAAGCUGCUCUGCCUCUGGACCAGCCGAGGGGGUAGGAUGAGCUGGGUGGGGCUGGUCCCAUGCUUGGGCAGCAGCUGACUUCUCCCUAGGUACACUGCAGCCUGCUCCCGACUCCUGGUCCAAUACAAAGCUGCCUUCAGGCAGGUCCAGGGCUCAGAAAUCAGCUCUAUUGACGAAUUCUGCCGCAAGUUCCGCGUGAGUGCCUGGUCCUUCCACCCCCAUGGGGCGGGACUGUCAGGCAUGGGUAUGGGGUGCCAGAGGGCUCUGGCCACCUGGGGCUUGCUGUCCUGAGAGCCCCAGCACCCAUGUCACCCCCCACAGCUGGACUGCCCGCUGGCCAUGGAGCGGAUCAAGGAGGACCGGCCCAUCACCAUCAAGGACGACAAGGGCAACCUCAACCGCUGCAUUGCAGACGUGGUCUCGCUCUUCAUCACGGUCAUGGACAAGCUGCGCCUGGAGAUCCGCGCCAUGGAUGAGAUCCAGCCCGACCUGCGAGAGCUGAUGGAGACCAUGCACCGCAUGAGCCACCUCCCACCCGACUUCGAGGGCCGCCAGACGGUCAGCCAGUGGCUGCAGACCCUGAGCGGCAUGUCGGCGUCAGAUGAGCUGGACGACUCACAGGUGCGUCAGAUGCUGUUCGACCUGGAGUCAGCCUACAACGCCUUCAACCGCUUCCUGCAUGCCUGAGCCCGGGGCGCCAGCCCUUGCACAGAAGGGCAGAGUCUGAGGCGAUGGCUCCUGGUCCCCUGUCCGCCACACAGGCCCUGGUCAUCCACACAACUCACUGUCUGCAGCUGCCUGUCUGGUGUCUGUCUUUGGU